GAUGAACGCUGGCGGCGUGCCUAAUACAUGCAAGUCGAGCGAGCGGACGAGAAGCUUGCUUCUCUGAUGUUAGCGGCGGACGGGUGAGUAACACGUGGAUAACCUACCUAUAAGACUGGGAUAACUUCGGGAAACCGGAGCUAAUACCGGAUAAUAUUUUGAACCGCAUGGUUCAAAAGUGAAAGACGGUCUUGCUGUCACUUAUAGAUGGAUCCGCGCUGCAUUAGCUAGUUGGUAAGGUAACGGCUUACCAAGGCAACGAUGCAUAGCCGACCUGAGAGGGUGAUCGGCCACACUGGAACUGAGACACGGUCCAGACUCCUACGGGAGGCAGCAGUAGGGAAUCUCCCGCAAUGGGCGAAAGCCUGACGGAGCAACGCCGCGUGAGUGAUGAAGGUCUUCGGAUCGUAAAACUCUGUUAUUAGGGAAGAACAUAUGUGUAAGUAACUGUGCACAUCUUGACGGUACCUAAUCAGAAAGCCACGGCUAACUACGUG
rnacentral:rRNA from 1 species